rnacentral:lncRNA from 1 species
AAAUCAUUUCUUUGAUUUGUCCAUUUUUAUUCAUGUAUCCAAUAUAUCAAUUACAUUUUAUUUUCCUCUCUCAAAUAAACUUGAGCUUAUAUAUGACUAGGCAUUGUAAUUGUUCCACGUAUACACUCCUUCACUAACUUGGACCCUGUGCGCAUUUACUUCUGCUAUCUCAAAUCAGCCUGAUGAUCACAGAUCCCAUAACUCUCUGACGUGUCCAGUACGUUCAGUGACUUUUUUGAGAGUGACUCCCUCCUCUGGAGUAACUCCUAGACACAUCAAGUUUAUUUGAUGGCUUGGGAAUGACUCUCUCAUUGGGAACCUGGCAAUCAACUGUGAAGUGGCUCUCAAGCAUAUCCAGUUCAUUUGGUCGCUUUGGAGCAUCUCUCGGAGAAAAGACAUUUUUCCUUAUUCUUUUCCCCAGUCAUAUUCUUUACUUCUCUUCUUUCCAUUCCAUCUGCAUGUUAUCUGAUCCUUCUCCUGCUGUAACUUGUGGCUGUUAUUUUUCUAUUAUAAAUUAUGGAGGACAGAGAACCUCAAGGUGUUUAUUCCUCAUUACUGUGGGUCAGCGAACCGUUUGUUCGCUGGACCUGUGAGAACGGUGAACAAAUGGAUCGUUUGUCGACCAAAGGUGUCACUUGUUAACUUACAACAACUUGGUGCUAAAUGAUAUCUUACCUAAAGUCCGAACUCUUGUGUUCUCAUAUUUUCUUUUGU